CCUGCUGUGCCAACACAGAAGUCGACAGGGGUGCAGCGGAUUGGCGACCGGCGGAAGGGAGGCUGACAGAAAGAGUGAAGAAAAGAAAAGAGAGCAGAAGGAAAGGAAAAGAGAGGGAGGCCAGGCUGAGGCCUGUGGCUGUACUGUGAAAAAACAAGACGGAGAGACGUACUCCAGCAAGACAGACUGAACCCCAGACAACUCCUUCUGUUGAACCAGACCCUCAGACAGCCUGGAGAGGACAGGAGAGGAGAACAUAUCCCACUGCUGCCCAACUGAUCUACAGUACUUCUACUGCCAUUAUGUUUUAGCAAACAAUUUGAUCAAACAUUAAGCAACAACUGCUAACACCACUAGUAGGGAUGUCCUUCACUGUCUGACCCUGUAC
rnacentral:lncRNA from 1 species